rnacentral:rRNA from 1 species
GAUGAACGCUAGCGGCAGGCCUAACACAUGCAGGUCGAGGGGCAGCACAGAAACAGCAAUGUUUUGGUGGCGACCGGCGGACGGGUGCGUAACGCGUAUGCAACCUACCUUUAACAGGGGGAUAACGGAGAGAAAUUUCCACUAAUACCCCAUAACAUCGAUCAAGGCAUCUUGAUUGGUUGAAAACUCCGGUGGUUAAAGAUGGGCACGCGUUGUAUUAGGUAGUUGGUGAGGUAAUGGCUCACCAAGCCUACGAUACAUAGGGGGACUGAGAGGUUAGCCCCCCACACUGGUACUGAGACACUGACCAGACUCCUACGGGAGGCAGCAGUGAGGAAUAUUGGUCAAUGGGGGCAACCCUGAACCAGCCAUGCCGCGUGCAGGAAGACGGCUCUAUGAGUUGUAAACUGCUUUUAAACAGGGAUAAAGCACAGUAUGUAUACUGUGUUGAAGGUACUGUAAGAAUAAGGAUCGGCUAACUCCGUGCCAGCCGCCGCAGUAA